GCCCGCGGACGUGCCCGCGCCGCCGGACCGACCGGCGGGGGCUGCCCGCUCCGCUUCCCUCCUUCCCUCCCGCCCGCCUUCCCUUCCCGCCCGGCCCCAACUUCGGCAGGUACCUUGGCAGGCUCCCGGUUAAGGAUUGCGCGCAAAGGUAGAGGAUGAAGUUUGCGCCGCCGCCGCCGCUGCCGGUCGUGGCGUUUCGCUGUGGCGGCAGCCGGGCUCGGCUCCCGGCGCGCUCUCCUGAACGCCGCUUCCCUAACCUUUGGAACUGCUCGGCGCCGGGGAAAAACAAAUAAUUAUAACGCCAAGCGCAGCCUGCCGAAGCCUCUGGGUUCAAAGCGUUUCUGCCCCUACCAGUGAAAACAGAUGCAGGCUGUUUUUCUCCAGAAAAAAAACCAAACCAACACUGGAAAGACAGUAAUUUCUUAGAAUGCAGCUUAACUCUUAUAAGAUCUUUUGUGACUGGAGCCCUAACAUGAUGCAAUUGGCAGUCUUUUAGAUCAAAACAAAUCAGUGCGAACCCUAGAGUGCAGUAAUACCAUUCACAAAUGGGAACAGAAAUGCCCUCUCCAGAUCUGUUUCACAGCAUUUUACACACACACAAAAAAAAAAAAAAUACAGAAACAGGACCAAAUUCCAACAUAUAUCGGUUCAAUAGACAUGUUUGUCUAUGUUUACAGCAAAGAGAUUCCAGUGUUCUGUAUUUAACCUUAUGUGAAGACUGGGCCUGCUUCCUACGAAACUGGUAUAAAUACUUGCAAUUUUAGGAAUCAGAACUCACACAGCAAAACUACAUCUCAGACCACUGUAUAUAAAAGCAGGUAGUAAAAGCUUAAUUACCAGUAGCAUUAUGCUGUCUAUAUUGUUAAAUGUGAACUCUGUAAUUAAGAUGUAAAUUUGCUUGUGAGCAGUGAAUUAAAAAGCUCUGAAAUAUAGAGUAAAAUUUAAAUACUCUGUAGAAACAUCAGGGACAAAAAAAAAAAAUAGCAGUUUUUACCAAAUUUUAAAACGAGAGGCAUUAAAUCAUGUUACUGUGUUAGAACAUCCUCUUUAAGUAACAAUUUGAUAAAUGUAGAUUUUGGAAUCAAAUCGAACUUGAAUAUGAUGUCUUUAUGUAUAGUUAUCUGUAUGACUAUAUACUCAAAAUACAAGUCUUAUAAACUGAUUUACAUGUGCACAUGAGCAAAACAUACAAAUACAUUGUUUGUACUGAAUAUCUCUGUGUGUAGAUUUGGUACAUGAGUAUGUCUGUUUAUAAAUUUAUACCCAAAAUAUCUAUUUUUCAAUAUUUUUUAUUCCAAAAUGCUUUCAAUACAUGUGUAUGUCUUUUUCUUACAUAAAAAUCACCCAUAAAUGAAUCCCUGUAAAUGUGUGAUUUGAUAUGGUCACUUUUCUCUAUUACAUUCCUUGGAAUACACCUUCCUUAAAAUCUGACAGCUAAUCCACUUUGAAACCUACCAAAGCACAGGUUAGCUUCAUUCCUACUUUUGUUCAUUAUCUCCUAAGAUUUUAUAUUCAGGGGCUGAAACACGAUGGUCUCUCCUUCUGUCAUGGUCUGUCUUCCUGUAAGCCCUCGUUUUCACAUUCCCAUAGUUUCCACUACCUUGUGAGCUUGUUGUCCCCCACCCUCCUCUACACUCCCAAAUAAUGCAUUUUUCCUCUCCCCCUGUGAGCCAUCGCUAGUUUUCUAUCAAGCAUCUUUCAUCCAAGCAAGCAGCUCUCUGCCCUGCCAGUGCUGCCUCUUGGAGAACCAGAAAUACUGUGCUGUACUUUGCAUGUUGAUAAACAAAGCAGUUGGCUUCUUCCCCCAGGGACUGAAAGUGUCACCUCCACCAGACUGGGGCCUGGAAUUCCAGCUACAUUCUUGAACUUGGGUUUCACAGUUACAGAUCAGUUUGGGGAAAGUGGAGGAAAAAAAAAAAAAAACAAGAUAAGAAAGAGAUUACAGCAGCAAAUAAACUGGGGCUAACUGUAGCUUCAUUUUAAGCUCUUCUGUAGAAAUAAAUAAAAGCAGUAGUAGGGGAGGGAAAAAAGUAAACCAGGCAUCAGUUUACUGAAUUUUGUCAGGGAAUACACAAUAACAACGUGCAUGCAAACACACAUCUGCAAUAACUUAUCAAAAUGUACAGUGCAAAAUCUUACCACAAGGAGUCUAUAUGAAACAGUGGUAAUGGAAUCAAGAGAGGGAGAGGGAAAAAUCGUCAGGAGUGCCUGUACCAGUCAAGGGGCAUUGCUGAGCAGCAUCUCCAUUUCCAUGUCUCUGUGCAUCUAAUUUUCCCUGUGUGCCAAACAGUACAUCUUUAAGCAUCUUCACAUCUAAAUACUACAGACAUUUCAAGGCAUCAGAAGGGCCAGAUUCUUAAAGCACAACCACUCAAGGCAACUGAAAUAAGGUUCAGUGGCACUUCACAGAAGCCUCACAGUGCAUUGUGUCAAAUGUGUAUUUACCAAAAGGAGCAACAAGCUUAAGCCAGCAGGGAAGCAGCAAGAAUGUGAAAGUCUGGUAGCUGCUGAGGAUUUAUUUGGGAACAAGCAUACUGUUAACUUUAGACAGAAAUUCGCAAUACACUAUGGAACCUUAUUCAAAGUCCAGCUGGAAAAUACCAUAUUGUUAAGAGUUUGAAAUAAAUACUGACGUGUCAUCAAA